rnacentral:rRNA from 1 species
GAUGAACGCUGACAGAAUGCUUAACACAUGCAAGUCUUUGGCGAAGCUGUGCUUGCACAGCCUAGCCAAGGCGGACGGGUGAGUAACGCGUAAGGAACUUGCCCUGCAGUCAGGGAUAACAGACGGAAACGACUGAUAAGACCUGGUAAAGUCAGGCGGACUCACGUCCAGCCUGAUGAAAAGAGAUGCUGCAGGAGAGCCUUGCGUCCUAUUAACUUGUUGGUGGGGUAACGGCCCACCAAGGCGAUGAUAGGUAGCCGGCCUGAGAGGGUGGACGGCCACAAGGGGACUGAGAUACGGCCCUUACUCCUACGGGAGGCAGCAGUGGGGAAUAUUGGACAAUGGGGGCAACCCUGAUCCAGCAAUUCUGUGUGCACGAUGAAGGUUUUCGGAUUGUAAAGUGCUUUCAGCAGGGAAGAAAAAAAUGACGGUACCUGCAGAAGAAGCGACGGCUAAAUACGUG